rnacentral:RNase_P_RNA from 1 species
AGAAAUGUGAGGAAAGUCCGUGCAUUCAAGGACAACUCCCCGGAGAAAUUCCGGACGUCGUGAGGCGGUGGAAAGUGCCACAGAAAUGUAGACUGCCGAUGGUUAACGAAAGUUUUCACAGGCGAUGGUGCAACGGUGAGUUAAGCGCUUCACCGGCGAUAUUGAGAAAUAUCGGCCAGGUAAACCCGGAGUGAAUGCAAGAUUGAAUCGAAGGUUAUAAAGGCUGUCCGCCAACUUCGGAAAAAUCGCUAGAGUUUGCGGGUAACCGCAUUCCCAGACAGAUGAUUAUCGAGAAACAGAACACGGCUUAUGAACUGCUUU